UCAAAAAGUUGUUUAUAA
rnacentral:piRNA from 1 species